AUAUUUACCUGGCUGGGGAGAUACCAUGAUCACGAAGGUGGUUUUCCCAGGGCGAGGCUUAUCCAUUGCACUCCGGAUGUGCUGACCCCUGCGAUUUCCCCAAAUGUGGGAAACUCGACUGCAUUAAA
rnacentral:snRNA from 1 species